rnacentral:lncRNA from 1 species
CCGCUAGAUGGCAGCCGGCGCCAGCGAUUCCCGCUCGGCUCCGCGCCACCGCCGGGGCCGCCGGGGCCGCGCCGGGCCGGGCCGAGCCGAGCCGCGCCGGGCGCCGCGGGGCGCGGAGCGUGGCUGCCCCCGGCCCCCGCCCCGCCGCCGCCGCCCCCCGCCGUUCAGGGAGUCGCGACCGCCGCCGAGCACCGUGUGUUCGCACAGGAGGAGAAGAAGAAGGAAGGGGCAAGGAAGAGGAAAAGAAGAGGAUUUAUUUACCCGACCUACUUUGGAUCUCUCUUUUUUCCUGCGUGUGCCAUUAUUAUUCCCGUCCUCUAUUUUUACACUUCGCCGUGAAUUCGUCUCCUCUGCGAAUUUAGUCACAUCCGAUUUUUUUUUUUUUUUUUUUUUUUUUUUUUUUUUUUUUUUUUCAAAAAAAAAAAAAAAAAGAGAGAGAGAGAGAGAGAGAGAGAAAGAGAGAGAGCGAGAGCGAGGAGAGACACAGAGAGCGCGAGCGCCGAGCUCGAGAGAAAGAGCAGCGCCCGGCACCCUCCUCCGCCGCCGCCGACACGAGAUCAAACUGCCUCAGCUCCCCGCCCGCCCCCGCCGCGCUCCCCAGCUUCGCCGCGCUGAAUGGCUGACGGCGCCCUGCCCUGGACCUGGCCCCCGGACACCUCCGUGCCCUGAUCGCUUCGCUCUCCGCCUCCACCUCCCGCUCCCCGGCCCGCGCGCCCGAGAGCCGCAGCGGCGGCAGCGGCAGCCGGCGGCAGCACCGCGGCGGCGGCCGGGCCCCGGCGGCGGCGAGCGGCGACCUCCUCCUCUCCUCUUCUUCCUGCUUCUGCUUCUCCGGAUCCAGCUCCGCGGCGGCGCCCCGGCUUCCUCUAUGCCUGCGCAUCCUCCGCGCCCCGUAGCGCCCGGACCGCGUGUGCCUGUGCCUGUGCCCGUGCGUGUGCGUGUGCGCGAGUGGGGAGCCGUGUGCCGGGCGUGUGCGCGCGUGUCUGCCUGCGUGUGCGUGUCCGGCGUGUGCCUCUCCUGGAUGCCUCUCCCGACGGCCCUGUUCGCUGCUUCUGAUUUUGCAACUUGA